UUAGCGUGCCUAACGCCAAGCCCUUAGCAAAGCAAUAUGUAAGGGCUUGUCCGAUUCUAAAAAAAUUUGCCCAGGAAUAUGGGGCUCGCUGCCCAGGGGCUUUACGGGGAACGAUGCUUCGAAAGCAUUUAGCUACCUAUACAUCGAUGCUUAACGUCAAAGAUGUCCAAAUUGAUAGGCUUGCCAAUUUUAUGGAUCAUCAUAAAGAUAUACAUAAAGAAAUCUACAGAAUCCCUGUAUCAGUAGCGGAGAUAGCCGAAGUAUCCCAGAUGCUUAUGGCAGCUCUGGGAAAUAAUGUUGAGGAUGAAAACACAGUAGCCCUUGAUUAGUUAGAAGAAAGUAAGUACAUAGAUUCGUCAAGUUUGUGGGUGAUACUAAGAGUAGUUAUGGUGAAAAAUGUAAUAUCUUAACUUAACUAAUAAUUACUUGUCGGGCUUAUUGUGAAUGUUUUUACAUUGUACCUGAAAUCCAUUUUGCAGAUGAUCCUUUAGAGGAUUCGGAAUCAGAUUAUUCUGAACAGCGAUCAGAAAGCGACUUCAAUAUUUCCGAUGAUGAAAUUGUAGAAAAAUCUAAUAAAAAAGGAAAGCGUCCAAGUAGAUCAUCAUUUGGAAAACCAUAAGAAACCGUUGGUCGAAUGAAGAGCGUGAAGAAAUAUACCGGCCUUUUGGAGACCUGUUGUCUCUAAAAGGAUUGCCGUCGCUUAAGCAAUGCAACGCAGUUAUAAAUAAUUCUACAUAUCUAAAAUGUUCGACACCGGUGCAAGUAAAAACAUGGUAUCUAUCCAUCCAUCAGCGCAAGGGUAAAUCAAGAAAAUCAACUCCGCAAAUAGAUUAAAUAAUGAAUAUGUUGACCAUAUUUAGAACUAAA